rnacentral:lncRNA from 1 species
UCUCAUUUCAGAAUCUGUGAGAAUUUUUUAGAUCGCCGGUCUUGCAUUCCCUAGCCUGGCUGCAAGAAGGGAAAAAAAGAAGAGCUAAACUUAUUGGUUCUCUCUAAACAGAAAAAGGUAGAAUUGUUCCUUAGAAUCUAACUUAUCUUUCUUUCAACUCAUGGGGAGUAAGGUGACCACAGUUUGCCUUGUUGAUCUGUUGUACCCAUCUGCAGAAAAGAUUUACAACACAUUUCAUAGGCUACUAAGAUAACAAAGUGAGUAAUUUCUCUAUGCAUUUACACAGAGUAUAGACUGUAUGAUUUGAGAUCAUAUCUCUAAGGCUUUCAAGAUAUACAAUGCGGGUAAGCUAUCAGAUGUUCAACAGAUCAACAGCACAUGGAGUAGCUUUACUAAUUAGAUGCAAUGUGAGCUCAAAGUCUAGCAAGGUAGAAAUUUUUAAAAAAAACACAAAAAAAAAAAUAGUUACUUUUCCAUCUUGAUAGUUGCCACGACACGAUUCUUAUCCUCUGGAGGUUCAUUCACUGUACUCUUAACAGCAGUGAUCUCACCUACAAUGUAUACGGAAAUGGAGAGCAAUAUCAGUACGUUGCAUGAAUACAAACUAUAGAAUCCAAAGCACAUAAUAAGGCCAUAAAUAAUGUUCGUACCUGGAAGCUGUGUGUUGGUGUCAGCUAAUCCAACCAGCUCGGCUUGGUUACGGAACCGGAAACCUUCUUAGGCAACGGUGAGACCGGUUCGGUUAUGUCAUCAAAUUAUGUAUUAUCAUUGAACCGAAUCAACAGAGGUGAGUCGGUAAGUCUGAAGUUUUGAGUACAUCGGGCCACGUCAAAACCGAUGUCAAAACCGGAGAGGGAAUAUAUUUAUCCGGCGGCGAGCCUCUCCCAGAAUUUUGAAAGCCGAUGAGCAUUGAUGGUGGCCUGCAUCAUAGUUGACUGAAAACAUAUUAGAUAUUUCUCAGAAUCGAUAAACAAUGAGAAACCACCAGAAUGAUCUAACACAGAUCUUAAAAAAAAUAUAAUAACAGAACAAUUGAUCUUACAUUCACGUCAAUCAGAAGCACAUCGUCCCACAUGAUCUCACCACCACGCUUGACAUUUCUCGGCUCCCAGAAACGCAGCAGUCUAGCCUCGACGACGGAUGAGCAACCACCGGUCUUCCAGUCCGAGAAGAAAACUCUUGAAUUAGCCAUAACAACACAAUUUCAGUAAGUCGACAGAGAUAGAAAUAGAUGAUGAGUUCGAUCGGAGAAGCACUCACAUAUUUAUACGGAUCUGACACCGUCUCAGAGUGAAGAACGCCUCAGUCAAGAAUGCAGAGUGGGCGAUUGAAUGAAGAGAAAUUAAGACGCACUAUAACUCAGCCAGUUUCAUAAAUGGUUAAGCAGAUCAAUCGUCACUCGUCGCCGGCGCAGAAGAAGGGAGAGACGUGCAUAUUCAACGAUCUAGGGUUAGAGCAAGCCGCAACGUCUAUAGGGCCGUGAGUGAAAAAAGGCCCAACACACGAAAUCGAAUCAAACCCAUAAGAUAACAUUUCUCGUUUAAUGAAACGCAGCGCUCCGUCUUUAGGGACACAUAAACAUUGAUUUCUGAAAUGAGUAAUCAUCUAGAGAAGCCAAGUUUGUUUCUUUACAUGUCUCAUUUCAGAAUCUGUGAGAAUUUUUUAGAUCGCCGGUCUUGCAUUCCCUAGCCUGGCUGCAAGAAGGGAAAAAAAGAAGAGCUAAACUUAUUGGUUCUCUCUAAACAGAAAAAGGUAGAAUUGUUCCUUAGAAUCUAACUUAUCUUUCUUUCAACUCAUGGGGAGUAAGGUGACCACAGUUUGCCUUGUUGAUCUGUUG